AGAUAUCUUCAUUGAAUUUACUAAAAGUGAUAUCAGAACAAGAAGGUUGUCCAAUAGAGGAGCUCAAUGCUGGAAAGCUUUAACUAUAUUUGAGGGGUCCUUACUCUAUUGCUGCUCAAUAUUUCCAUUUUCGUAUGUGUGGGUUAUAGGGCAUGUAGCAUGUCAUGUUUGUAUCAAGCGGUCCGAGUUUUGAACUACUACUGAUGAAUGCUCAUCAGUAAUGCUGGAGAUAUUAGAGCCUGGACCUGUUCACUAAUAUUUAUAUCUUGAAGUGUGAUCUGCAGAAUCAAGAUGACUAAUGUUGGUACAACUUAUGCAACAUCCGAGAAUACAGUUUCAACCCCUCCACCUACAAUCUCUAAUGAAAUGCCACCUCCUCACACUAAGAAGCGAAAGAAUCGUUCAGAGGUUUGGAAGCAUUUCAUUGUAUCGUCGGAAGAAGAACAAAAAGCUUCGUGCAAAUACUGUGACACGAAAAUUAAGUAUAAUAAUGGAACUAGUUCCAUGCAUGCUCAUGUAUCGAGAUGCCUUGUUUACAAGAGGCAAAGGGCAUUAUCUUCUACGACAAGUGUUGAAGAACAUGUUGGCUCUCCUUUAAUUGUCAAGUUUGACCAAGAAGCCAUUAGAAGAGCAAUGGUUAAGAUGUUCAUAAACAUGGAGAUUCCUUUUCGGAAGGUUGAACAUGAGUCUUUUCAUGAAUUUAUGAGUCUCGCAUCACCAAGAUUUCAGAUUUGUUCAUGCACAACACUAGCGCGUGAUGUCUUGAAACUAUGGGAUAGUGAAAGAAUGAUUUUGAAA